rnacentral:rRNA from 1 species
CCUACGGGAGGCAGCAGUGAGGAAUUUUCUGCAAUGGGCGAAAGCCUGACAGAGCAAUACCGCGUGAGGGAAGAAGGCCUAUGGGUUGUAAACCUCUUUUCUCAAGGAGGAAGAUCUGACGUUACUUGAGGAAUAAGCAUCGGCUAACUCUGUGCCAGCAGCCGCGGUAAU